rnacentral:piRNA from 1 species
AGCUAAAGAGCCUUCCCUUGGCC